ACCCUAGCUCUGCGGCCGCUUUCACCAUCACCACUGAAUCUCCUCUUUCACUCUUAAUACGACUGAAUCUCUUCUCUUUCACUCUCUCAAUACGAAAAGAUUAUUGAAUCUGUAGAUCUGAUCUCUCUCAAAUAAAAACCCUAACACUGCUGUUGAGGACGAUUUGAAUCAUAAAGAAAACUGUAGUUGAAGAGUUAUUUGAUAUUAUAAGUGUGGUUAGGGUUUUCAAUCUCGAAGAUUCAUCUUCAUCAAACCAUACUUGUUACAGAUCAAUGGUGUGGUGCUGCUCGAUGUUAAUCCAUCAAGAGAAGAUGUUCAUGCCUUUGUUAUGAUUCUGGUACAUAUUUCACUUGGGAAAAAACACUUGGUGCGUCCUUUUCUCCGAUUCUGGUACGUAUUUUACUUGCCAAUUUUGGUCAUCGCUGGUGCCGAGGAUGCGCUUAUCUCUUUAAAUGCUAGAACCUCGAUGGAUCUGGUAGGAUGUAAUUUUGAAAUUCUAUCGAAAUGUUUUGUUAUUGACUUGUUUUAGAAGAUGAAUUGAUGAAUGCUAAACUGAGAAAGUUUCUGUUAUACUUAACUGAUUGGUUGUUAUUGAUCAGUUGACAUUCUGCUGGAACCUACUAUGUGAAAAUUAAGACCGGAUGUCCACUCAAAACAAUGAAACUCAAGAAUGAGCUCGCUCAUGAAUCCAACAAUGGUCUUGACAUUGUAGUUAGAAUUUUGGAACCUAUCAAGGAGCAGCUGAUUAAAUGUUCAAAAAUGUCUAGGAACAAGAAACUUGACAACCAAGAAUUUGAAACCAUCAUUGGCCACAAGAAAGAAAAGAAAAAGGAGAAGCAAUGCACACAAUUAUAUAUUCUUGGUUGCUAAGUUUCUGUGUGAACCCCAGAUUUAUGAUUUUUGACGAGUUUUUUGUUUAUUUUUAACUAAUUUCUUUGUGUGUUUUUGAUGAUGGAUUUGUUCGUGGUUGGGAAUACAAAGGGGCAAGAUCAGUAUCUUAUUAAAUGGCGUGGAUGGCCCGAGACAGCGAAUACAUGGGAACCCAUUGAAAACCUACAAGCAUGUUAAGAUGUUGUUGAAGCAUUUGAAGAAAGGUUCAAAGGGUCGGAAGCGGAAGCGCGCAGGGGUUCUUUUACUCAACCCAAGAUGACACAACAACGUACGCAGAGAAAUUGAAGCCUCUAAAAUCAACAAAAAGAGCUAUUUGAAGAUUCACUUUCUUGCAGAGUUCAAGCUAAGCGUGGCUGUGCAAAACAUCCUCGUAGUAUUGCAGAAAGAGUUCGAAGAACUAGAGCUUGUAUCAAAAAUGGAUAAGGUAUAAACUUCAAGAGUUUGGAUUUGGUGUUGUUAUAAAACUUAUUAGGACUUGAAGUUGUGUCUAUUCGACAUUCUAAUAUUUUUGUAUCAUUCUUGAAAUGGAUUUAUGAAUAUAACGAAUGGUCAGUGGAAUACAUUAAUCUCUGUAAAUUGUGAAUAUGAAUACAGU